GGUACCUUUGGGGUAAUAAAUUCUUUGGGGUAAUUGAAAAAAAUUCGCCCAAAGGUUUGUACUAAUUUCAACCUGUUAUGUUAAUGUUAUCAUUUUGUGGUUUUAAUAUGAUAUACAGCUAGAUAAUAUCUCCCCAAAACGCUUCCAAACAUUUAAAUCGGACAACUAUUUGAACAAUUAUCGGUUUAUGAAAUAUGACCGUCUGUAAAGUGCAUAUCUAGCUGGAGUUAUAAACGGGCGUUUGGGCUAAUUCGCCUUUUUUGGUUUUCCACCAAAAAAACUGAUAUAUAUCACUUAUAUUAUUAUUUGAGUAAAGUGGUGGGAACUUUCUGCAGUUUUCGAUUAAUUUUCUCCAAGAAAUUGUAAGAAAUAGAAAAAAUAUUCGACAUAUAUAUGAGUAGCACGUCUGAAAUUUCACAUAUAUUCUUUCGAAGAUCUUAUUCGGAACACCUUUGGAUUCAUUCGCUUCGAUUAAAUAGGACAAAAUGGCAGCUUGCAGGGGCCAGCUGAAGGACACCUCUGGGUGCGGGAAUUUUUCGAUACAGUGAAGACCUGUUGGUGAGCUUCUGCUGUUGUUUUUAUCCAAGGGGUUUUUACUCAUCAGAUGCAUGAUUCAGAUCAAUACAGUGGUGUCUGCAUAAAAAAAGUUGAUGGGAGAAUGAUGUUUAUCAAAGGUUGAUGUAAACAAAGAAAAGAAAAUUCAACAGAUGAGGCUUUUUGACAAGAAGUGUUAUUUUGAAAUGAUUUUUAGCCAGCAAAUCAAGGUUAACAGCAUCUAGAGAAAUUUGCACAGCAACAUGGAGGAGAAAAACCAUCAAUCCUUGCAUAUCUUGCUGGACGGAAUUGAGAUUUUUUAGCACAAGCAACAAUUCAUGGAAAAAACUAUGAAAAAAGGCUCUAGGUGUAAUACCACCAUUGAUUUUCCCCUAUUAGUCUUUGUUAAAUUUGCACUUUUCAAAAAAUUGUGCAGAAUUUAUCUUUGUUUCAAAUAAAGAAAUACUUGGCAUGAGUAAAGUUUUAUCCUGUCCAGUUCUAUAGAAAAAG